AAUCUAGGUGUGCAUGAGGGUCUUCAGCCUAUUGUCUUCUAAUGGAAAAGUUCUAUGGAUUUCGAGGCCAAAUAAUGGUGGCAUAAGAGUACUUCAUUUCCUGAAUCCCUUCUCAAAAGUGAUCUAUGGAGAGGCCAAUAUCUCUGUUCUAUCAUUGAUUGAUCCGCAAUUUCAAUAAUUCUUUUGAUUCCACUGGUCAAAUAAAUACCCUAUAUAUUUGAAGAAAGGAAUAUUUUUUUUUUCUUCUGACUUUAUCAUGGAUCAGACAGCUGUUUUAUGGAUCUAAAUGAGUAAGAGGAAAACUGAGAAUAAAAGACAAAGAACUGGACAAAGAAAUUAUUGAAAUAUUAAGUUGAGUAAUUGUUAAACAUUACUGACCCAGAUGAUGAUACAGACUGCUGAAAGGAUUGCAACCAACCAUAGUACAUUGAUUGUACUGUUACUUAUUGAUUUCAUUCAAGAAAAGGAAUCUCUAUGCCACAGAGGAGUUUUGGGAUAAUUAGCAUGUAAUAUUUUUACAUUGGCACCAUUGAGUAUCAAAUAUUAUCUAAUUUAUUUUGUUCCUAAGCUUUGAAUCUAAUUAUCUAAACUAGAUGGUGGAUUAAAUUAUAAAUAUUAGGUUAUUGCUUAGCCAAUUAUAAGUAUACAAGUUUCUUUGCAGUUUUUAUUUGUCACAGAUAAAUAUAAUGUUAAUUAAAAAAUUCUAUAAUUAGAUUUUAUUCAUUUAUCAUUUUCUUAAUUUCCUCAACAAACAAGUUAGUAAAAUGAUGCAAGCAAAUUUUAAUUUUAUAAUUUUCCUCUUUGAACUUUUAUAGAAAAGUGAUGAAAUAAUAAUAAAUAUUAAUUAAUAUAAAUAAAGAAAUCUUUAUAUAUACGUAUAAUUGGCUAUUAUUAUGAAAGAAAGAUCUAAAUUGAGUCAGGUGAUCUAAAAAGAUGUAAACUAUCCGACAAAA